rnacentral:rRNA from 1 species
GAUCCUGGCUCGGGAUUAACGCUGGCGGCGUGCCUAACACAUGCAAGUCGAGCGGCAGCGAGUUUUACACUGAAUUCUGGAAGCUUCUAGUUGAAAGAGAAGAUUUAUUCAAGAAUUUUGUGUAAAAUGUCGGCGAGCGGCGGACGGCUGAGUAACGCGUGGGAACGUACCCCAAAGUGAGGGAUAACGCAUCGAAAGGUGUGCUAAUACCGCAUAUGGUCUUCGGAUUAAAGCCUUCGGCGCUUGGACGG